GUAAUAUUUAGUGAUUUUUAAUUUGCCUAAUAAAAUAAAUUAAAAUUAUUCAGAAAUAAUUGUUUAGCCGUUGUCAAGAAGAAGAAAAUGCAUGAGGGUUGGCGUCCUCGCGCUCCUGCUGUUUGCUCGCGUGCACGUGCGUGGAAGAGCGAUUUCAAAUACAAAGAAGUAACGGCUCCUUUCCUCAAAGAAACAACCACUGCGCGAGGUGACCACGAUGCUUACGAGUCUAAUGCACUUUGUGGGACGAAAUGGAGACCACAAACACAAGAAAAUCCAGUAUGACUUCUUUAAAAAUCUCAAAAGGUUCACAGAGCAGCACUAUUUAAUAAAGAAAUGUGGCUCUGUAGUGGACACCUGUGAGGCAGUGGACAGACAGCUGCUGAUGUCUGAUGCUGGCUGACAAUAAACAGACCUCUCUGGACGUACGCCAUCUUUUGCAGAGAAAUUAUAACAUUGCCCUUCCUGUUACAUGAUGAUCCUGCUGUCCUGGACUGUAUAUGAUGAGCCUACACAUAAUCUCAGAACAGCUGUGGCAAUAACAGGAGACCCAUUUGGUGAGAGCAGCACUGCAGACUUUCCUGAUGGAGGAGAUCAUGGACCAUUUUCACAAGACUGAUGCUGUGUUUCAGCUGUGUCUUCAUCGUAAAUCCUCACAAUGUUUGUAUAUUUUGAUUUUAAAAAAAAUUAUGUGCAUUUAUAACACUAUACUUUGUAUUAUAUCACAUUCGUAUCAAAUUACAGAAAAAAAUA